UGCAGCCAUGUCAGAUCCGGUGCUGCCCCAUCCAUGGCAGACACUGGCCCAAACGGCUGCCAUAGAAACACUGUGACUCAUGGGCCCUGAUCCCCUCUGCUGGGCCUCAGGGAUAAAUAUGGUUACAGACCCCA